ensembl:lncRNA
CUUGGAGGACGGGACGGGGGUGCGGCUAGAAGAGGAGGAGACUGAUACGGGGGGGAGGAGCUGAAGCCGUCUCUGGCGGAGAGUGUGCGUCAUGACGUCAUGGAGCAGACUACUUAUAUACAGGCGCCUGGCCGCCAUCUCGGUCUUUCGUGGCUGCGAGCUGGCUGUAUCUGAACCGCGGCAGGCAUGACUCCAAUGUGGAUUUUGAUGGCUUCUGUUGGGCAGUUGUGUACCAGAAGGAUGACAACUACUGCUGGGGUCUUAAAGCUCAAGCUUGGUGCUGUGUCUAUGAGCAGACAGAUGAUGGCUACAUGUUUUGUUACGUGGCUGACUUCUUUGGGGUGUGAAGAGAGGUAGUGACUACAAUGCAAGGAAUCAGGGGUUCUAACCAAAGGCAUAUGUUUUGUCCUGAAGAUUUCGAGGGCACUUAUGAUACCAGUCAGACAUAACAGUUAGCCAGAUGGAUGCACAUGGGAUAGAAGAGCAAACAACUAUUAAUUGGCUGCUGCCCUGCAGAGCUGUUGGGAUCCUAGCUUCCUGACAAGGGAUCAAACCUGUGGCUGCUACAGGGGAAGCUCAGCCCUAACCAUUGGACUACCAUUUAAUUCUCCAGCUUUCUAUUUCAAUAAAUGUUUCUAAAUCACUCUGAA